GACGAACGCUGGCGGCGUGCUUAACACAUGCAAGUCGAACGGAAAGGCCCUGCUUUUGUGGGGUGCUCGAGUGGCGAACGGGUGAGUAACACGUGAGUAACCUGCCCUUGACUUUGGGAUAACUUCAGGAAACUGGGGCUAAUACCGGAUAGGAGCUCCUGCUGCAUGGUGGUGGUUGGAAAGUUUCGGCGGUUGGGGAUGGACUCGCGGCUUAUCAGCUUGUUGGUGGGGUAGUGGCUUACCAAGGGUUUGACGGGUAGCCGGCCUGAGAGGGUGACCGGCCACCUGAGGACUGAGAUACGGCCCAGACUCCUACGGAAGGCAGCAGUGGGGAAUAUUGCACAAUGGGCGGAAGCCUGAUGCAGCAACGCCGCGUGCGGGAUGACGGCCUUCGGGUUGUAAACCGCUUUCGCCUGUGACGAAGCGUGAGUGACGGUAAUGGGUAAAGAAGCACCGGCUAACUACGUG
rnacentral:rRNA from 1 species